UACCAGCACCCCGAGUGGUCGGGACGUUUAUUGGGCCUAAAGCAUCCGUAGCCGGUUCUACAAGUCUUCCGUUAAAUCCAACUGCUUAACAGGUGGGCUGCGGAAGAUACUAUAGAGCUAGGAGGCGGGAGAGGCAAGCGGUACUCGAUGGGUAGGGGUAAAAUCCGUUGAUCCAUUGAAGACCACCAGUGGCGAAGGCGGCUUGCCAGAACGCGCUCGACGGUGAGGGAUGAAAGCUG
rnacentral:rRNA from 1 species